rnacentral:lncRNA from 1 species
AUGGCAAAUGAAGAAGCACAUGGCAGUCUGGAGAACAGCCUGCAGCAGGGAACACAAACACGACAGCAUGGAGGAGAGGAGGAUGAGGAGCAUCACACACCCCAGAGAGGGGACACUGGAAGGCUGGGAGAUGAAGGGAGCAGUGAGACACCUCUGUGCCUUGUCCCCCAGCAGAAGGGUUCAGUUCCCUGUGCUGCAUCCUUUGGAGCUGCUGGGAAUGUCAGGAUCCCAGGGGACGUGGCUCAGUCAGCAGCUGCUGCAUCCCCCAGCAGCCUCCAGCAGCCCCAGAGGCAAAGCACGGACACCCUGCCGGGCAAGGGCUCGGACAGCGAGGACUUCCUGAGCAAAUACAGUGACAUUGUCAUAGCACAGACACCCAUCUUCAGUGAGAGCCUCUCCCCAAGGGCUUUGGGGCAGGAGCCCAGGGCCAGGCUGGCUGAGGAGCGGGCCUUGGCACGGGCACUGGGGCCUCUGUCCCCGGGAGCCAGCGGCCCCCCAGCCUUUGCCAUGUUUGCUGACAGCGCCCAUGACAGCAAAACCACCUUGGAGUUUGAAGCUCCAGGAGUCCCAGAAGGAUCAAUUGAAGCAGAAAUUAAUGAUGCCAUAAAUUGCAUAGACCCAGCCCCUGGUGAUGAGCCCUCUGAGCUGAAGUCUCUGCCCUACAAGGACUUUGCCCAAAACUGCGGCGUGCCCAGGGAAGAGGACAUUUGUGAGCUGUCUUUAACCUUCACAGAACUGCAGAUCAAGGAUGCUCAGGAAGAACUUAUGUAUCCAGUAGAGGAAAGUGGCCAGCCUGGGGCAGGAACAAGUGACAGGCACGUUGGAGAAUUCAGUUCCUCCCAGAUAAAACAUACAUACCUGCCUGAUGCUGACCUGCACAAGAGAGCACUGUCACACCCUGAGCCACCUUCAGGUCUGUGCUGCACUGCUGGGCACACAGAGGAUGCCACUGCUGGUUCUGACAGCAAGAGACUGUUCAUGGAUCCUGCUAAGGGACACCCAGCUUCUGAGUGCUUCAGGCAUGUCAGAGAGCCCCCCAACCUCACCUACAUCCCCCCGCAGAGCAUGGAUGUGCAGCCCUCCCAGGGGGGCAGGAGGGGCCUGGGGCAGCCUGCAGGUGCCUCUGCUGGAGGCAGGGAAGGGAGGCUGGAGCACAGCAAUUCCCAGGAGACUGACAGCCAGGAGCCCUAUGUCAUCAUUGACAGGACUGAGCAGGCAGCGCUGAGCCAACACACCUGA